AGAAGAGGUGGCUCUGGCUCUUUUGUCAGAGAGAUGGCUGGUGGCAGCAUGCUGAGUGUCUUGGCAUCUUGAUGUGGCUGCAGCUUUUGUCUGGGUUUGGUGCUGAGCAUCCUUGAUAUAAUACUGGGAAGCUUAGUACCCUAGUUCAGUAUCAACUUUCAGACAGAAGAGCAAGGGCUAGGCAAAUAGGCACUGUGAUAAAUUCUGAAUUCAAGAGAAAUGUUCAAGUCAUGAGAAUGUCAUUCAUAAUGGAGAAGAUUAAAUCAACAUUUUGCACCCCAUAAGUGUUACUAAUUCCUUAAUGUGACUUCAGCCAUGGCAUAGAAGAAUGAAGAGAGAUUGAAGAUCAUCAUCUCCAUCAUAGAGUCCAGACCUCUGAUCUAGCCAGAAAUCCUGAUCAUACUAUUCCUGGGUCCAAUACUAGGACCAUGUUCAUCUCUGAAGGGGAUAUUAGGCAGGGACAUGGAAGGUCCUACCUCUCUUCACUUCCUGUCUGGAGCUUGGUGGUGGUCAUAUGAUAUAUAACUUAAAGAGAAAGUGGAGAGAGAAAACCCUGCAAGGUACCUCGGAGGUCAUUUAGCCUAAUUGCCACCUCAUGAGGAUUUUAUGGACAUGGAAAUUGAAACAUCAAUUGAAAGAGAUUUUGCUAAGGUUACACAAGGAAUAAGUUUCAGCACCAAAAUUCUAACUUGAGUUGUAUGACUACAAGAUCUAGAUUACCAUUUCAUUAUUAAGUCCCAAAUCCAAUUUCUUCCCAGGUUCUGACAAAAAAUAUUCUUGAAACUGGAUUGUUUGUUGAUGUCAUAUCUUUAAAGUUUUAUUGCUAAAGGGUGUUUUCCAUUUUCCAAA
rnacentral:lncRNA from 1 species